rnacentral:rRNA from 1 species
GACGAACGCUGGCGGCGUGCUUAACACAUGCAAGUCGAACGGAAAGGCCCUGCUUGCAGGGUGCUCGAGUGGCGAACGGGUGAGUAACACGUGGGUGAUCUGCCCCUUACUUUGGGAUAAGCCUGGGAAACUGGGUCUAAUACUGGAUAGGGCCAUGCUGUAGGUGGUGUGGUGGAAAGAUUAGUUUCGGUAAGGGAUGAGCUCGCGGCCUAUCAGCUUGUUGGUGGGGUAAUGGCCUACCAAGGCGUCGACGGGUAGCCGGCCUGAGAGGGUGGACGGCCACAUUGGGACUGAGAUACGGCCCAGACUCCUACGGGAGGCAGCAGAGGGGAAUAUUGCACAAUGGGCGCAAGCCUGAUGCAGCGACGCCGCGUGGGGGAUGACGGCCUUCGGGUUGUAAACUCCUUUCAGCCAUGACGAAGCCCUUGUGGUGACGGUAGUGGUAGAAGAAGCACCGGCUAACUACGUG